UAGGCUUCUUUAUUCCAUUGAUAAUCACCCAUUCAUACAGCCUGAAUGAGAUCUCAGGCUCAGAGGUAGAUGUUCACAGAAAUUGAGGAUCUUCUGACUGUGUCUUCUUCUUCUCCUUCUUCUUAUCCUCCUUCUCAUCAUCAGUUGGAUUCUUGUCAUUAUCCGAAACAUCCGGAACAGGCGGUUUGGGCAGACGAAGGUGAAGGGUAGUUGGAGUCCCUUUAUGAGCUUGUGAGGCAGUAGAACGGUGGGUGUUGCGGGGCAUAUUGGUGUAUUUGAUGAUAAAGGUGCGUAUUUGAUGAUAAAGGUGUGUAUUUGAUGAUAAAGGUGCGUAUUUGGAUGAAUUGGAUGAUAUUUGAAUGAUUCUAGAGAUAUGUGGAUAUUUUGGUUAUUUUUGCGGUGUUUUGCUAUUAUUUUUCAGG
rnacentral:sRNA from 1 species